AGUGAACGCCGGCGGUAGGCCUAACACAUGCAAGUCGAACGGCAGCACAGUAAGAGCUUGCUCUUACGGGUGGCGAGUGGCGGACGGGUGAGGAAUACAUCGGAAUCUACUUUUUCGUGGGGGAUAACGUAGGGAAACUUACGCUAAUACCGCAUACGACCUACGGGUGAAAGCAGGGGAUCUUCGGACCUUGCGCGAUUGAAUGAGCCGAUGUCGGAUUAGCUAGUUGGCGGGGUAAAGGCCCACCAAGGCGACGAUCCGUAGCUGGUCUGAGAGGAUGAUCAGCCACACUGGAACUGGGACACGGUCCAGACUCCUACGGGAGGCAGCAGUGGGGAAUAUUGGACAAUGGGCGCAAGCCUGAUCCAGCCAUACCGCGUGGGUGAAGAAGGCCUUCGGGUUGUAAAGCCCUUUUGUUGGGAAAGAAAAGCAGCAGGUUAAUACCCCGCUGUUCUGACGGUACCCAAAGAAUAAGCACCGGCUAACUUCGUG
rnacentral:rRNA from 1 species